rnacentral:lncRNA from 1 species
CACACAUGGGCUUCUUACCCUUCAGCCACUGGAUCUCCGUUUUGUCAUUGCAUAUUGAACUGAAGUGGAUUCAGAACAUCACUGCAGUGAAAGUGAAAAGACAGAGACCCUCAAGGCACAGAAAGAUCAGCAGGAUUAUAGUUACAGGAGGCGAAAUAUCACUGCAUUCAAACCACUGCCCACGUUUCCAGAUGAACUGGAGCCCGCAAAGGACUAGCGUGGCGCUGAUGACAGAGCUUUGUACCAAGUGAAGGGCACAAAAAACCCUCUGCUUCUUUCCUCCUACUCAAUUGUGCACCCAGGGCAGUGCUGAUAUAUUUCCCAAUACCUCUUUUGCAAGUCCUGUAGUGCAGUGGGCAUGCUGCGCUUGAUACAGCGGCACUGUGGGUGCUUGUAGAUCACUUCUUCCGGCUUCAGCUGCAAACUCUUCUACCUAUUCUUUAUUAUCACCGCCUUUGGGGACUGCCUCUCGGGUAGGUGAGCAGGGUCCUUAACCGAGAGGCAAAGCGAGCACCUCUUGCGUUAAAAAGACCUCGUGGACCCCCGAGUACCGGAAGUCCUUGGAGCGCAGGAGCGUGGCAAUCCGCAUUCGCGACCGGAAGCUACGUCAUGAAGGCGCCGGUCUUGCUGCUGCUGUGAGGGUGAACCAGGCAGUAACAGCCACGUCGUCGGAGGAAGAGGCGGACCAUUUUCAUUUUCAGUCCAGAGAGAAUGAAGUUCGACAUGCCUGAGACUGUGUUCUGAAGACGGCAUAGUUUCCUCGCGCACAUCACAAAUGAUUUCUAAACAUUACUAGAAUAUUUUGCGCCUUUUCUUCGGGAUCUUAAGGUGCAUACUGCCCUGUGUGAUAGGAUAACGAAGCACAGGUGAGGUCGCCACAUGCUGCUAUGCUGCUGUCCUGCCCGGGCAGUGGGGGCAGUAGGAAGGAGGCGGCCGCCUAGCAGACAGGAGAGCCGGGUCCAGCCUCCGUGAGCAUUAAUUAACGUGUGACUCAAAUGACGGGCCUGCAGCAGUGAAGCUUUUGCCAAGAUAACUGGUGAAAGUUCAGAAGAGCCAUCUAGCUGACCAGUCCCUGAACAUGGACACAUGGUGAUACUGACUAGCCGAAGGUGGAGCCAGAACCCAUUCAUACCAGAGAGCCUGACCAGUUACAACCUACAGAGCAGCUGGGAGAGAGAUGGAAAGUCUCUUUCAUGGCAUGAAAAUGAAGAUCCAGAAAUUGCACAUGAAACCUGCAAAUGAAUGUAUCUUCGAAACUGAGGAAAGAAAGGAGAUGAGUGAUCUGGGAGAUGUCGCAUAGAGGGAAUUGACAAAAACUGGAGAGAAUAAAGUUUGAAAAGGAAGAGCUGUCAAGGAGGACAACCAGGUUUCCCAUCUGAGAGACCAGGUAAUGACUGAACUCAUGAACUGAGUAAAUGAUAUUCUACUGGAGAGGGAGAGGGUAGAGAGAUGAAUUCAAUUUUACUCAUAACAAAUGGCCAAGAUUUCACUGCUGUAAUACCAACACUAUCUCACCUGAAAUGAUUUCACUAUUUGGCUCCUAAAGAUAGCAGUGCAAAAAGGUUCCAAAUUUAUUUGUGUAUUUGAACAAUUAAGCUGUUUUUUUUUUUAAAAAAAUACACAAAGAAUCAUAUUAUGUAAAGGUAAAAGAACCAAAAAACAACAUCACCUGAACGAUUUAUCUAUAAUGUAUGGAUCUUACCCUCAACAUAAGCCCCAAUGGAACAUUUCGGCUCAAUAAAAUCGGGACACUCCAGACAUAGUCUAAUAAUCCUUAGCUACUAUCAGACUGUUAUUAGCCUCAGGCUGAGCCCAUAAAUGCACAACAAAGUCAAGUAUGGUAAAUACAAAAGAUAAGUCUAAGAAAAAGAAAUCCCAAACAUUCUGGCUCAAUUAUAAAAUAUUUCAGACAAAAGCAGAAGUCAAAUAUAUUUCUUCUUGAGUGUCUCCCACAGAACACAGGUAAAUAGAUGACACUCUUGAAAUACCGCUUGAAUGUGUUUAUGAAUUAUCUAGAUAACUGAUUGUUUUCAUAUUUAUGCUGCUUACGUGAAAUGUAGGUUAUUAAAGUGUUCUGUGUGUGUAUCUAAACAAUAUCACAUGUUCGUGUCUCCUCACUAUGGUCAUUCACACAUUUAUGAAUCUGUGAAUCUAUAUAUGACAAUUAAUGCUGACCCAGAAAGCUUUCCCUUUCUUGGCCCAAAGGGUACACUAAUUCGAUUCAAGGGAUCUAAUAUGUUGCAGGAAACAUUUUUGAAAAGAUUUCUCAACAUAAUUUGUUGCUUUGGCUAUCAUCAGACUUGGUUAAUCUAAAUCUUAGUUUGCAAUUUCAUUCUCUUGUGCAAAUGUGUCUAAAAACUCGAAAUGUAAUGCCACACUAUUUUCAACUGUCUGGUUACUGUUUAAAUAUAGCAGGCAAGAAAGCCAUGAAAAUAGACCAAUCAAACACAAAUGAACAGAGUCUGACUAAAUUCUUCAUCUUUAUUAAAAUACAUGUUUCAUUAUUUUCAAAUGAACUUUUUUUGCUGUUAAAAGAUAUUUUGUGAAAUUAUUUAUGAUGUUUUCAGUGAAAGGAUCUCCAUUUUAUACCUUCCACUUAUAAAGAGCCUAUAUUACGCAUAAAGUGAGGUUUAUCUCAAGGUUACUUUCCCGCUGAUAGACUGCUCACUGCUGACAACAGGUCAGUGACUCAUGAAACUACUAGGCUAGUUUUCACUUAAUACUCCAAUUAAGCGAAACAAUGCGAUGCAUCUACCUUGUUUUCAUGUUCCAUAAUGAUGCUAAUAUAGUGUGUGAAAAUCCACUAACGAGAUCCACCUGAAGAAAUGACUACCUCCCACAAAAAUGUCUGAUCAUGCCUUUAGUGAUAUUUUGUAAGCUUUAACGGAUCCCCAGAAUCCGACCCUGUAAAUAGCCAACCUGCCACUCAUUUACUGAGGAAAGUGGGUGAGAGUCAAUCUUUGACAAAGAUGAACAAAAAACAGCCAACUUCUUUUAGAUGUGAAAUGUAUUUUUCCUUGAACUCCAACUCUUUCAUAAAUAUUUCCUUUGACAGAUUUUUUUUCAUUCCCCUAUAUUUCUCUGUUUGUGGUUAAUGGUGCAGAACUAUCACUCUUUUAAAUGUCAAAUUAUCAUUUCUUAUUCAUACUUCUUGACAAUUGCUACCCUCUAAAUAUAUUAUUUAGAAUUAUUUGCAGAGUGUAGCAAAAUGGUAUAGCUGCUAUUCUGUUCAAAGUUUUAUACAAAGAUAAGUUUUCUUAAACCAAUUUUUGUUCUCAGUAUGGGGUACUGCAUUAUAACACACUGCUAGAAGAUUAUUAUGAAAUGUCAAACAUCUAUUAGAGCCUAUAUUGCUUUUCAAAAUAAUAUAUAUUUGUUAAACAUCUACUGUGAGUAUUGCACUAUAUUAUAUAUUAUAGCAGUACAUAGUCUGGAGAAGACAAGUUCCUGACCUUGAGGAGUCUGUCACCAAUCUCCUAGCUGGAUAACAAUAAAGGCAUAGUCUACUUAAAAAAAAAAAAAAAAAA